GGAUAACCUGCCUCAAGGCUGGGGAUAACAUUUGGAAACAGAUGCUAAUACCGAAUAAAACUUAGUAUCGCAUGAUAUCAAGUUAAAAGGCGCUACGGCGUCACCUAGAGAUGGAUCCGCGGUGCAUUAGUUAGUUGGUGGGGUAAAGGCUUACCAAGACGAUGAUGCAUAGCCGAGUUGAGAGACUGAUCGGCCACAUUGGGACUGAGACACGGCCCAAACUCCUACGGGAGGCUGCAGUAGGGAAUCUUCCACAAUGGGCGCAAGCCUGAUGGAGCAACGCCGGCGUGUGUGAUGAAGGCUUUCGGGUCGUAAAGCACUGUUGUAUGGGAAGAAAUGCUAAAAUAGGGAAUGAUUUUAGUUUGACGGUACCAUACCAGAAAGGGACGGCUAAAUACGUGCCAGCAGCCGCGGUAAUACGUAUGUCCCGAGCGUUAUCCGGAUUUAUUGGGCGUAAAGCGAGCGCAGACGGUUGAUUAAGUCUGAUGUGAAAGCCCGGAGCUCAACUCCGGAAUGGCAUUGGAAACUGGUUAACUUGAGUGUUGUAGAGGUAAGUGGAACUCCAUGUGUAGCGGUGGAAUGCGUAGAUAUAUGGAAGAACACCAGUGGCGAAGGCGGCUUACUGGACAACAACUGACGUUGAGGCUCGAAAGUGUGGGUAGCAAACAGGAUUAGAUACCCUGGUAGUCCACACCGUAAACGAUGAAUACUAGGUGUUAGGAGGUUUCCGCCUCUUAGUGCCGAAGCUAACGCAUUAAGUAUUCCGCCUGGGGAGUACGACCGCAAGGUUGAAACUCAAAGGAAUUGACGGGGACCCGCACAAGCGGUGGAGCAUGUGGUUUAAUUCGAAGCAACGCGAAGAACCUUACCAGGUCUUGACAUCCUUUGAAGCUUUUAGAGAUAGAAGUGUUCUCUUCGGAGACAAAGUGACAGGUGGUGCAUGGUCGUCGUCAGCUCGUGUCGUGAGAUGUUGGGUUAAGUCCCGCAACGAGCGCAACCCUUAUUGUUAGUUGCCAGCAUUCAGUUGGGCACUCUAGCGAGACUGCCGGUGACAAACCGGAGGAAGGCGGGGACGACGUCAGAUCAUCAUGCCCCUUAUGACCUGGGCUACACACGUGCUACAAUGGCGUAUACAACGAGUUGCCAACCUGCGAAGGUGAGCUAAUCUCUUAAAGUACGUCUCAGUUCGGACUGCAGUCUGCAACUCGACUGCACGAAGUCGGAAUCGCUAGUAAUCGCGGAUCAGCACGCCGCGGUGAAUACGUUCCCGGGUCUUGUACACACCGCCCGUCACACCAUGGGAGUUUGUAAUGCCCAAA
rnacentral:rRNA from 1 species